rnacentral:rRNA from 1 species
GACGAACGCUGGCGGCGUGCUUAACACAUGCAAGUCGAACGGAAAGGCCCUGCUUGCAGGGUACUCGAGUGGCGAACGGGUGAGUAACACGUGGGUGAUCUGCCCUGCACUUCGGGAUAAGCCUGGGAAACUGGGUCUAAUACCGGAUAGGAGCCAUUUUUAGUGUGAUGGUUGGAAAGUUUUUUCGGUGUAGGAUGAGCUCGCGGCCUAUCAGCUUGUUGGUGGGGUAAUGGCCUACCAAGGCGGCGACGGGUAGCCGGCCUGGGGGGGUGGACGGCCACAUUGGGGCUGAGAAACGGCCCAGACUCCUACGGGAGGCAGCAGUGGGGAAUAUUGCACAAUGGGCGCAAGCCUGAUGCAGCGACGCCGCGGGGGGGAUGACGGCCUUCGGGUUGUAAACUCCUUUCGCUAGGGACGAAGCUUUUUGUGACGGUACCUAGAGAAGAAGCACCGGCUAACUACGUG